rnacentral:piRNA from 1 species
AAGUCGAAUAGUGGCUGGCUGUUGG